ensembl:lncRNA
CAUGAAGCAGUUCAGCAAACAUGUAAAGCACCAAAAAUGCACUUUAGGUAGUAAAGUGUUAAAAAUAACUAAUUACUGAUGAAAGACUCGCUCUAGUUUCCUUAAUUUAAUUUAAUUCAGCCAGACAGGAAACAGAAAUCAUGAGCCUGUCACUAAAAUACCUUCAAAACUUUGUAAAAAAUGCUUCACCUGUAAAAGUUUCAAAGUGACCCGUGACGUUUUUUCACCAGCAGAGCAGCUUCAGUCGAUGACGUCACUGAAGAGUCAGAAAAUUACAAAGUUAACCUGUGACGUUCAUCUCAUCGUCAUUAUAUUUGGAUGUAAUUGGUGGAGAAAGAUCAGUUAACAGUUGGCAGCGUUCCUCGCAGCAUUCAGUGGCGAUUACUCUACAUUUACUCCGCGUUUUUAAAGAGCUAAAAGAUUUCACAGCAUUUUAAGAACCGUGUCAUAACUUUGGAUAAGUUUGAAACCAGUCAGCUAAAGUUUGAGUUUGAAUUAGUUUAAUAGUGCAUUACAACAGUGAGUGAGGGCUGAGGAAAACACUGACAUGAGGACAUUUACACGUUGCUGCUCAUCGACUAAAGCGUUUUAUUUGAAGGAGCAAUCACACUGUAAUAAGUGUAGUGGGCGUAUGUUUGUAUGUUCCCUAUGAAGUUAUUUUGCAUAAAUUUGUGGACAGUUUUGGCAUCAUAUGAAUGAUAACAAUAAUCUAUUUCUCUGUUUGUUGUUGUAGGGGUACCAGCCGAUGAACUGGUCUUUGAACUGCUGCAGCGUCCAGAUUUUCAAGAAAUUCACCCGAUGGUCCGCUGGCUUCAAAUGGGUCUGCUGCGCGGCCUCUUAACUGAAGAAAACCUCCAUGUUCUGGGCCAAGUUAUUCAUCAACUGCAACAACAUGAUGAUGAGGAGGACAAUCAUCAUGUUUGAUGAGGCUGAUGUUCCAGCAGCAGGGAUAGGAAUAACGAAGGACCCUGGGUCAAUAACAGAGCAGAGAUCCUAGCAGGAGAAAUGGAAAUAAACCUGGCCCAGCAAGCAGAAGAUCCCAUAGCUGAAGAAAUGAGGUGGUUCUGGGAUAAUGAGGAGGCUGAGAGUGACAGCGACAGUGUCCCUGAGAGUGGUCCUGACAGUGACACCGAUCACAGCAACACUGAUAACAAUGACAGUGAUGAUGAUGGAGACAAUGGUCAGGAUGCCCCUGUGCUAUUGCCCCCCAGCCCAGUACCGGGAGGUUCAAGGAAGACACCAAGGGAGGAGGAGGAAGAUGAUGAAGAGGAAGAUGGGAGACCCAGAAAACAAUCCAACGACUGAAUUUUGCUCCUGGACACUCAGUGUUGCACCCAUCCUCCAAACCCACAGUCCCCCGUCCUAACAAACUGAAUCUCGGCUUUCCCCCCUCUGACGGACUGACUUAGUUUCCUGCCACCAGCGACCUGUUCACCUGACUGCCACGUACCACCUGUGGAUAUCUGUUCAGCCUGUGACCCACUAUGAUUGUGCUUACAAGUGGAAUGCAACAAGUGUGUGUCUCAUACCACUGGUACCUUGUUAGGUGGUGAUGAUCGUGCUCUUACUGGUCCCAGUUAUGGAGAGAGUGGUCCUAUUGGUUGGCUCCCACAUUAGGAAGGCGGGGUUGGGGCCUUCCUAUCUUCUUAUGCUAACGUUAUUAAUAUUGUUUGUCUGUCUUCCUCCCCUCAACCCUGACUGGUCGGCGCAGAUAGCUGCCCCUCCCCGAGCCUGGUUCUGUGGAGGUUACUUCCUGUUUAAAGGGAGGUUUUCCUUCCUACUGUCACCAAAUCCUUGUUCAUAGGGGCUCAUCUGAUUGUUGGGGUUUCUUU